AUUGAACGCUGGCGGCAUGCCUUACACAUGCAAGUCGAACGGCAGCACGGGUGCUUGCACCUGGUGGCGAGUGGCGAACGGGUGAGUAAUACAUCGGAACGUACCUUAUCGUGGGGGAUAACGCAGCGAAAGCUGUGCUAAUACCGCAUACGCCCUGAGGGGGAAAGCGGGGGAUCGCAAGACCUCGCGCGAUUAGAGCGGCCGAUGCCUGAUUAGCUUGUUGGUGGGGUAAAAGCCCACCAAGGCGACGAUCAGUAGCUGGUCUGAGAGGACGAUCAGCCACACUGGGAAGGAGACACGGCCCAGACUCCGACGGGAGGCAGCAGUGGGGAAUUUUGGACAAUGGGGGCAACCCUGAUCCAGCAAUGCCGCGUGAGUGAAGAAGGCCUUCGGGUUGUAAAGCUCUUUUGUCAGGGAAGAAACACCGGCUCUAACACAGUCCGGGAAUGACGGUACCUGAAGAAUAAGCACCGGCUAACUACGUGCCAGCCGCCGCCGUAA
rnacentral:rRNA from 1 species